GACGAACGCUGGCGGCGUGCUUAACACAUGCAAGUCGAGCGGAGCGGCGAACGGGUGAGUAACGCGUGAGUAACUGCCCCCCUCUCUGGGAUAACAGUUGGAAACGGCUGCUAAUACCGGAUAGUGGGGGAUGACUCGCGUCCUAUCAGCUUGUUGGUGGGGUAGUGGCCUACCAAGGCGACGACGGGUAGCCGGCCUGGGAGGGCGACCGGCCACAUUGGGCUGGGAUACGGGCGAAACGCAUACGGGAGGCAGGAGGGGGGAAGAUUGCAUAAGAGGGGAAACCCUGAUGCAGCAUCGCCGCGUGCGGGAUGACGGGCUUCUGGUUGUAAACCGUUUUCAGCCAUGACGCGGUAGUGGCAGAAGAAGCACCGGCUAACUACGUGCCAGCAGCCGCGGUAAUAC
rnacentral:rRNA from 1 species